rnacentral:rRNA from 1 species
GGCACUACGGUGCUGAAGCAACAAAUGCCCUGCUUCCAGGAAAAGCCUCUAAGCAUCAGGUAACAUCAAAUCGUACCCCAAACCGACACAGGUGGUCAGGUAGAGAAUACCAAGGCGCUUGAGAGAACUCGGGUGAAGGAACUAGGCAAAAUGGUGCCGUAACUUCGGGAGAAGGCACGCUGAUAUGUAGGUGAAGCGACUUGCUCGUGGAGCUGAAAUCAGUCGAAGAUACCAGCUGGCUGCAACUGUUUAUUAAAAACACAGCACUGUGCAAACACGAAAGUGGACGUAUACGGUGUGACGCCUGCCCGGUGCCGGAAGGUUAAUUGAUGGGGUCAGCGCAAGCGAAGCUCUUGAUCGAAGCCCCGGUAAACGGCGGCCGUAACUAUAACGGUCCUAAGGUAGCGAAAUUCCUUGUCGGGUAAGUUCCGACCUGCACGAAUGGCGUAAUGAUGGCCAGGCUGUCUCCACCCGAGACUCAGUGAAAUUGAACUCGCUGUGAAGAUGCAGUGUACCCGCGGCAAGACGGAAAGACCCCGUGAACCUUUACUAUAGCUUGACACUGAACAUUGAGCCUUGAUGUGUAGGAUAGGUGGGAGGCUUUGAAGUGUGGACGCCAGUCUGCAUGGAGCCGACCUUGAAAUACCACCCUUUAAUGUUUGAUGUUCUAACGUUGACCCGUGAUCCGGGUUGCGGACAGUGUCUGGUGGGUAGUUUGACUGGGGCGGUCUCCUCCUAAAGAGUAACGGAGGAGCACGAAGGUUGGCUAAUCCUGGUCGGACAUCAGGAGGUUAGUGCAAUGGCAUAAGCCAGCUUGACUGCGAGCGUGACGGCGCGAGCAGGUGCGAAAGCAGGUCAUAGUGAUCCGGUGGUUCUGAAUGGAAGGGCCAUCGCUCAACGGAUAAAAGGUACUCCGGGGAUAACAGGCUGAUACCGCCCAAGAGUUCAUAUCGACGGCGGUGUUUGGCACCUCGAUGUCGGCUCAUCACAUCCUGGGGCUGAAGUAGGUCCCAAGGGUAUGGCUGUUCGCCAUUUAAAGUGGUACGCGAGCUGGGUUUAGAACGUCGUGAGACAGUUCGGUCCCUAUCUGCCGUGGGCGCUGGAGAACUGAGGGGGGCUGCUCCUAGUACGAGAGGACCGGAGUGGACGCAUCACUGGUGUUCGGGUUGUCAUGCCAAUGGCACUGCCCGGUAGCUAAAUGCGGAAGAGAUAAGUGCUGAAAGCAUCUAAGCACGAAACUUGCCCCGAGAUGAGUUCUCCCUGACUCCUUGAGAGUCCUGAAGGAACGUUGAAGACGACGACGUUGAUAGGCCGGGUGUGUAAGCGCAGCGAUGCGUUGAGCUAACCGGUACUAAUGAACCGUGAGGCUUAACCUU